CCAGGGAGAGGAGGGGCGGGGCGGGGCGGGGCUUUGCGCAGACGGACGGGAUGUCCUGCCAGGGCCCGGAUGUGGUUCCGAACCAGAGGUGUCAGGACGCAGCCUUCACCUCCCCGAGAUCCGGGAUUGCAGGCCUGCAGGACUCGAGGGGUAUUUUGAGCAGGGGAACCCGGGCGUUUCCGACCUACACUGUGACCUAAGCCCUACUGGUCUGUGCCUGUUUCCCCGCCCAGGACCCAGGACCGGGCUCUGUCGCCGGCCGCUCUCCUGGGGUCUUGUGACCGCCUGGGCGAGCAGUGAGUGCGGAGUCUGCACAGCGCGUGGUCUGCUCGCCUUCGAUGCAGUGGCGGUAUUUUACUGAGAAGCAGUUGUCAUCCUCUUUAUUCAGGAGCUGUUUACUCGGUGCCGAUGUGUGGGGUUCCAGGCUAUGAACUGGGGACAAAAUAGAGGCACCCUCUUCUCUCUGAAACUGCGAGUUUGUGAAGGAGGCAGACCAGCGUACACGGCACGUUUCCUGUACGAAUACAAUCAUCAGAGGAUUCACCUCUACGCCUCACCCAGCUUUCCUGAGGUUACCGUUUCCAUCGUCUUGCUCACAUUUGUAGUGACCAGACCACACUGGAGAGCAGUCAAGUAACUUGUCCCAAGGUCGCAGAGCCUACUUACUGAGUGGCCAACUGGAAUUUGAACCCAGGCGGCCUGGCUCUAGAGUCUGUGCUUCAAAUGGGGACACAAGUAGGACCCAGAUCAUAUCGGAGCUUGCUGAA